GAUGAACGCUGGCGGCGUGCCUAAUACAUGCAAGUCGAGCGAACGGACGAGAAGCUUGCUUCUCUGAUGUUAGCGGCGGACGGGUGAGUAACACGUGGAUAACCUACCUAUAAGACUGGGAUAACUUCGGGAAACCGGCGCUAAUACCGGAUAAUAUUUUGAACCGCAUGGCGCAAAAGUGAAAGACGGUCUUUCUGGCACUUAUAGAUGGAUCCGCGCUGCAUUAGCUAGUUGGUAAGGUAACGGCUUACCAAGGCAACUAUGCAUAGCCGACCUGAGAGGGUGAUCGGCCACAUGGGAAGGGAGACACGGUCCAGACGCCUACGGGAGGCACCAGUAGGGAAUCUUCCGCAAUGGGCGAAAGCCUGACGGAGCAACGCCGCGUGAGUGAUGAAGGUCUUCGGAUCGUAAAACUCUGUUAUUAGGGAAGAACAUAUGUGUAAGUAACUGUGCACAUCUUGACGGUACCUAAUCAGAAAGCCACGGCUAACUACGUG
rnacentral:rRNA from 1 species